UGGGGAAUCUUGGACAAUGGGGGAAACCCUGAUCCAGCGACGCCGCGUGGGUGAUGAAGGCCUUCGGGUCGUAAAGCCCUGUCGGGGGGGAAGAAACUCCUGCCGGUAAACAAUCGGCGGGAUUGACGGUACCCCCUAAGGAAGCACCGGCUAACUCUGUGCCAGCAGCCGCGGUAAGACAGAGGGUGCAAGCGUUGUUCGGAAUUACUGGGCGUAAAGGGCGCGUAGGCGGCCUCCUAAGUUCCGUGUGAAAUCCCCCGGCUCAACUGGGGAACUGCGCGGAAUACUGGGAGGCUAGAGUACCGGAGAGGAGGGUGGAAUUCCUGGUGUAGCGGUGAAAUGCGUAGAUAUCAGGAGGAACACCGGUGGCGAAGGCGGCCCUCUGGACGAGUACUGACGCUGAGGCGCGAAAGCGUGGGGAUCAAACAGGAUUAGAUACCCCCGUAGUCC
rnacentral:rRNA from 1 species